CUGAUCAUAAUGACAACAGAAAUCACUCAAAUGGCCCUGAUCAAAAGUUUACAUACCCUUGAAUGUUUGGCAUUGUUUCAGACACACAAGGUGACAUACACAGCUUAAAAUGGCAAUUAAAGGUUAAUUUCCCACACCUGUGGCUUUUUAAAUUGCAAUUAGUGUCUGUGUAUAAAUAUUUAAUGAGUUUGUUAGCUUCCAC
rnacentral:lncRNA from 1 species